GUUUUCGGAUGGAUUGGUAACAACUUAGUGGCGGACGGGUGAGUAACGCGUGGGUAACCUGCCUCAUACUGGGGGAUAACAGCUGGAAACGGCUGCUAAAACCGCAUAAGAUCGCAUCACCGCAUGGUGAAGCGGUUAAAUAUCGAAAGAUAGGUAUGAGAUGGGCCCGCGUCUGAUUAGCUAGUUGGUGAGAUAAGAGCCCACCAAGGCGACGAUCAGUAGCCGGCUUGAGAGAGUGACCGGCCACAUUGGGACUGAGACACGGCCCAAACUCCUACGGGAGGCAGCAGUGGGGAAUAUUGCACAAUGGGGGAAACCCUGAUGCAGCGACGCCGCGUGAGUGAAGAAGUGCUUCGGCAUGUAAAGCUCUAUCAGCAGGGAAGAAGAUGACGGUACCUGACUAAGAAGCCCCGGCUAACUACGUGCCAGCAGCCGCGGUAAUACGUAGGGGGCAAGCGUUAUCCGGAUUUACUGGGUGUAAAGGGAGCGUA
rnacentral:rRNA from 1 species